rnacentral:rRNA from 1 species
CGGGAGUAACGCGUGGGUAACCGUGCCUCAUACAGGGGAGUAACGAUUGGAACGAUUGCUAAUACCGCAUAAGCGCACAGUACCACAUGGUGCAGUGUGAAAAACUCCGGUGGUAUGAGAUGGACCCGCGUCUGAUUAGCUAGUUGGUGAGGUAACGGCCCACCAAGGCAACGAUCAGUAGCCGACCUGAGAGGGUGACCGGCCACAUUGGGACUGAGACACGGCCCAG